rnacentral:rRNA from 1 species
UCCACCGAUUGACUAAGGUUUCCAGAGGAAGGCUCGUCCGCUCUGGGUUAGUCGGGUCCUAAGCUGAGGCCGACAGGCGUAGGCGAUGGAUAACAGGUUGAUAUUCCUGUACCACCAUUAUUCGUUUUAAGCGAUGGGGGGACGCAGUAGGAUAGGCGAAGCGUGCUGUUGGAGUGCACGUCCAAGCAGUGAGAUUGAGUGUUAGGCAAAUCCGGCACUCUUAAGAUUGAGCUGUGAUGGGGAGAGGAACUUGUUCCUCGAGUCGUUGAUUUCACACUGCCGAGAAAAGCCUCUAGCUAGAAUAACGGUGCCCGUACCGCAAACCGACACAGGUAGUCAAGAUGAGAAUUCUAAGGUGAGCGAGCGAACUCUCGUUAAGGAACUCGGCAAAAUGACCCCGUAACUUCGGGAGAAGGGGUGCUCUUUGAGGUUCACGCUUCGAAGAGCCGCAGUGAAUAGGCCCAAGCGACUGUUUAUCAAAAACACAGGUCUCUGCUAAACCGUAAGGUGACGUAUAGGGGCUGACGCCUGCCCGGUGCUGGAAGGUUAAGAGGAGUGGUUAGCGCAAGCGAAGCUACGAAUCGAAGCCCCAGUAAACGGCGGCCGUAACUAUAACGGUCCUAAGGUAGCGAAAUUCCUUGUCGGGUAAGUUCCGACCCGCACGAAAGGCGUAACGAUUUGGGCACUGUCUCAACGAGAGACUCGGUGAAAUCAUAGUACCGGUGAAGAUGCCGGUUACCCGCGACAGGACGGAAAGACCCCGUGGAGCUUUACUGUAGCCUGAUAUUGAAAUUCGGUACAGUUUGUACAGGAUAGGUAGGAGCCUUAGAAGCGUGAGCGCUAGCUUACGUGGAGGCAUUGGUGGGAUACUACCCUAAUUGUAUUGGAUUUCUAACCCGCAGCACUUAUCGUGCUGGGAGACAGUGUCAGGCGGGCAGUUUGACUGGGGCGGUCGCCUCCUAAAGAGUAACGGAGGCGCUCAAAGGUUCCCUCAGAAUGGUUGGAAAUCAUUCAUAGAGUGUAAAGGCAUAAGGGAGCUUGACUGCGAGACCUACAAGUCGAGCAGGGUCGAAAGACGGACUUAGUGAUCCGGUGGUUCCGCAUGGAAGGGCCAUCGCUCAACGGAUAAAAGCUACCCCGGGGAUAACAGGCUUAUCUCCCCCAAGAGUUCACAUCGACGGGGAGGUUUGGCACCUCGAUGUCGGCUCAUCGCAUCCUGGGGCUGUAGUCGGUCCCAAGGGUUGGGCUGUUCGCCCAUUAAAGCGGUACGCGAGCUGGGUUCAGAACGUCGUGAGACAGUUCGGUCCCUAUCCGUCGUGGGCGUAGGAAAUUUGAGAGGAGCUGUCCUUAGUACGAGAGGACCGGGAUGGACAUACCUCUGGUGUACCAGUUGUCGUGCCAACGGCAUAGCUGGGUAGCUAUGUAUGGACGGGAUAAGUGCUGAAAGCAUCUAAGCAUGAAGCCCCCCUCGAGAUGAGAUUUCCCAACUUCGGUUAUAAGAUCCCUCAAAGAUGAUGAGGUGAAUAGGUUCGAGGUGGAAGCGUAGCGAUACGUGGAGCUGACGAAUACUA